rnacentral:tRNA from 1 species
GCCGGUGUAGCACAAUGGUAGUGCAACGCUCUUGUAAAGCGUAGGUUGCGGGUUCGACUCCUGUCACCGGCUC